UCAUCUUCGGGGGUAGAGCACUGUUUCGGCUAGGGGGCCAUCCCGGCUUACCAACCCGAUGCAAACUACGAAUACCGAAGAAUGUUAUCACGGGAGACACACGGCGGGUGCUAACGUCCGUCGUGAAGAGGGAAACAACCCAGACCGCCAGCUAAGGUCCCAAAGUCAUGGUUAAGUGGGAAACGAUGUGGGAAGGCACAGACAGCCAGGAUGUUGGCUUAGAAGCAGCCAUCAUUUAAAGAAAGCGUAAUAGCUCACUGGUCGAGUCGGCCUGCGCGGAAGAUGUAACGGGGCUAAACCAUGCACCGAAGCUGCGGCAGCGACACUAUGUGUUGUUGGGUAGGGGAGCGUUCUGUAAGCCGUUGAAGGUGUGCUGUGAGGCAUGCUGGAGGUAUCAGAAGUGCGAAUGCUGACAUAAGUAACGAUAAAGCGGGUGAAAAGCCCGCUCGCCGGAAGACCAAGGGUUCCUGUCCAACGUUAAUCGGGGCAGGGUGAGUCGACCCCUAAGGCGAGGCCGAAAGGCGUAGUCGAUGGGAAACAGGUUAAUAUUCCUGUACUUGGUGUUACUGCGAAGGGGGGACGGAGAAGGCUAUGUUAGCCGGGCGACGGUUGUCCCGGUUUAAGCAUGUAGGCGGAGGUUCCAGGUAAAUCCGGUACCUUUUAACGCUGAGGUGUGAUGACGAGGCACUACGGUGCUGAAGUAACAAAUGCCCUGCUUCCAGGAAAAGCCUCUAAGCAUCAGGUAACACGAAAUCGUACCCCAAACCGACACAGGUGGUCAGGUAGAGAAUACCAAGGCGCUUGAGAGAACUCGGGUGAAGGAACUAGGCAAAAUGGUGCCGUAACUUCGGGAGAAGGCACGCUGAUAUGUAGGUGAAGCCCCUGCGGGUGGAGCUGAAAUCAGUCGAAGAUACCAGCUGGCUGCAACUGUUUAUUAAAAACACAGCACUGUGCAAACACGAAAGUGGACGUAUACGGUGUGACGCCUGCCCGGUGCCGGAAGGUUAAUUGAUGGGGUUAGCGGCAACGCGAAGCUCUUGAUCGAAGCCCCGGUAAACGGCGGCCGUAACUAUAACGGUCCUAAGGUAGCGAAAUUCCUUGUCGGGUAAGUUCCGACCUGCACGAAUGGCGUAAUGAUGGCCAGGCUGUCUCCACCCGAGACUCAGUGAAAUUGAACUCGCUGUGAAGAUGCAGUGUACCCGCGGCAAGACGGAAAGACCCCGUGAACCUUUACUAUAGCUUGACACUGAACACUGGUCCUUGAUGUGUAGGAUAGGUGGGAGGCUUUGAAGCGUGGACGCCAGUCUGCGUGGAGCCGCCCUUGAAAUACCACCCUUUAAUGGCUGGUGUUCUAACGUAGACCCGUAAUCCGGGUUGCGGACAGUGUCUGGUGGGUAGUUUGACUGGGGCGGUCUCCUCCCAAAGAGUAACGGAGGAGCACGAAGG
rnacentral:rRNA from 1 species